ensembl:lncRNA
AUGUGUCUCUCUUCCCAGACAGGACAGACAAGCCAUGAAGAACUCGUUUACAUCCUGAGAGGAGGCAGAGAAGGUAAAUCCUACUCACUAACAAACAGCUUACUGUUACCAAGACUGCAUAAAAAGUCCACAUUUAAAUUGUUCUCUGCUGUAAAGUUCAGGAUGGAUUGUCAUGCUGCUCCAGGCUGGUUUGGUUCACCAGAAGAAAAAAGAAAAAAAAAAAAAAAAAAUUGGUGUGAAACAGCAUCAGCAAGGAAGUUGUGUUAAUUAAUCUAGUUAGGAAAUCUGGUUUAAGGUUUCCUCACCUGCUGACAGUGUCCCUUGAAAACUGGAAAGUGACUUUUUAACUUUAGCCAAGUGUGUUUCCUUCAGAUCAGAGUCACUGCUGUCCAUCUGGCUCAUAUUCAGGUUGGUUAUUGCUCUGGAAAGAAGUUGAUUUAUGUUAUUAGAAUUGUUUUAGUGUCACAAUUAAAAGUUAUUCUGCUCUACUCUAGAAUGUCAUGAGAGCUACGAUACGACAAUACAUCUAAAAACAACCGUCACCCCUGCACUUUGACUAGGGAAAGAAGUCGCAGCCCCCUUGCACUACUCCCCACAGCUCUAGGCAAGUGGUGAGGACUGGCAUGUCUCCCUGCAGUUUCUCUUGCCCACCUGCGUAGAGAGAUCAGUCCACUGUCUGAUGCCUCAGUGCUUGCAAAAAGCAACCUAUCAGCCACCUGCCCUAAAAUCUCCUGCCAGUCAUCAGGAUGCAGUAGGCCAUCCACCGAUUCUGUGUGACCGGGGUGGGGGGGGGCAACUGGAACUGGGACAGUAGCAGGUGGUGUCUCUUCUGGCGGUAGGACACAAAUCAAUUGUCCCUCCUCCAUUUCCUCACUUCCAACAUUCUCAAACCCCAAAGACUCAGGGCCCACAUAUGGAGAAGGAUACAGAGGAAAAACAUCAGGCACAGGUUUCAACAUAGUACAAUGUACCCUUUUUACUCGUGCAAGGGUAUUUGGAAGGGCAAUUGAAUAAACAGCUCCUCCCUCCAUAGGUGCUUGGAUUACCUUGUACUUUAUCAGACUCCAGACAUCUUGUAUUUUAUUCCUACCUCGAUUACUGUAGUCCCUUCGAUAAACCAACUGUCCUUCUUUCAAAUGGCAGCUAUAACCCUUCUGAUAAUGCCUCUCCUUCCUCAGUCUGGCUGCUGCUUGAAUACUCUCUCGAGUACCAUUAAAAGCCACUUGCAAACGCUCCCGAUGUUCCUCCAUCCAAUCCAUUACUGUCCCUACCGUCGGCUGUAAAACUGUCCCAAGGAGGAAAUCAACUGGCAAAUUAGGUUCUUUGCCAAACAUUUAAAAAUGUGGGCACUCACUCUUUGUCUGAUGUAUGGUUGUAUUAUAAGAGAACAACAAUUGAGGCAAAUAAUUAGGCCAGUCAGCUUAUGCAGGCUUGGGAAAUGUACAAAGGAGGCAAUGCAGUGUCCAUUUAAACAUUUCACAUUGGCCAUUGCCUUGGGGAUGGUAGGGCAUGGUGCAUGUCUUCUGUAUCCCAUACAGGUCGCAAAGUCGUUGUAUCAAAGUCGUUGUAUCGUUGCUUUUCUUUUACUGCUGUAACUGUGUGUUUGUAAAACACAAUUUUUGCAGCAAAGGAAGUUUAGGGGGAAGUCGUGGCCUGAUGGUUAGAGUGUUGGACUUGCAAUCCAAGGGUUGCAAGUUUGAGUCUUGGGCCGGCAGGAAUUGUAGGUGGGGGGAGUGAAUGUACAGCGCUCACUCCACCUUCAAUACCACGACUGAGGUGCCCUUGAGCAAGGCACCAAACCCCCAACUGCUCCCCGGGCACUGCAGCAAAAAUGGCUGCCCACUGCUCCGGGUGUGUGUUCACGGUGUGUGUGUUUACUGCUGUGUGUGUGCACUUUGGAUGGGUUAAAUAAAUAAGGUAUAAUGUACAUCCAGCCGGUUGUUAGCUCAGAAUAAAACCUGACAGGGUGAUCAGGACCCCGACGCAAAGCUGGAUGUACAUUAACCCACUUAUUACAUGGCUAUUUGCCACAUAAGUAAAUAAUUAAACACAAAAUAUUGAUUUGAGUUGAAAUAUUUGAACGCAAAGCUUCUGUGAACACAGCAGUUGCGAGCAAGCGGCAAAUUCAAACUAGAUGCACAUUUAAGGGAAACGGUGCAGUCAAACACAACAUUUCACCACAUAAUCAAAGGCAAUAAAAGAUUUAAGACGAAAAUAUUUUAAAAUCUUACCAGUUUGUUAGUUCUCUUAUAAUCCAUUACAGCGUACAAAACAGUCGUAGCAAAAUGGCAGCAGCUGCGUUUGUAUGAAACGAGAGCGAGUCCCCAAUACCAGGAUGACAUAAUUAAAUAAUUGUACACCAUUUUGAAUUGAGUUUUAAAAUUUUAUUAGCUAAACAAACGCGAAGCUUCCACCAAGAAAAACUGUUCCUAGCAGGAGUAUAGCACCGACUUCAGUUACCUGGCUGGAUGAGCCUGUGUUAUUAGCUUUUACCGUUAGUUAUCGAGGGUUAACAUACCUCAGAAUGUCGUGACUGACCAAUCAGAAUCAAGUAUUCCACAAAGCAGCAAAUGAAUAGAGUGCAAGUCUAAAAAGGACGUGUUUUUUUUUUUUUUUUUUUUUAAAGAAUAGAAUAGAAUUAGAAUAGAGUGCUAGAGUUAGAGGGUCAAAUAAAGAUGGAAGAGAUUUGUUUUUAGCCAAUUCUUGAAGAUGGUAAUAAUAUUUAAGAUUCUAGUUAAAAGGUUAAAAUAAAAAUCAGACAUCCAACAGUAAAACUACACUGCUGAAAAAAACAAAAAACAAAAAAAACAAUAGAAACCAUCAAAUAAUUUGUAAUGGUUUUACUGGUUAUAAUGGGACUUGUAUUGAUUUUACUGGAAACUGUAAUGGACCCUGUGGCUUUCUACUGGUAAUUGGUCGCCCUCUAUUGGUGGCUUUUUAAAACCACUAAAUUCUAAUUGAAAUGUCCCAAAACACACCUACUCUGAUUGGUUCGUUCGUCUUUCAUAGACAUACAUGAUAAGAAAUGUGUGUGUAGUUGAUGUAGGACAGAGUAUGUUGUUUAAAAAGCUAAAAACGCUGUGCAGUUUUACAAAGCCUUCAUUAUAAUGCACAGAAGAAGAAGAAAAAAAAACUUUUGUUUACCUAAAUUAACCUGAUCUUUAGGCUAACAGACAAACAACCCACUACUUUUAGUAAAUUAAUUGGGUUGAUUAUCCACAGUGUGAGGAUUAGUUCUUCAGAUAGAAGCAUGAAUUAUGAAUAUAAAAAGAAUAUAUCAGUAUUGUUUUAAUUUAUAUAGCAUGACCCUGUUUUUAUACAGUCUAUGAGCAUGACAAGACAAUUAUUGUUACAUAUAAAUAUCUGUCAUGCAGUUGAUAAAUGACACCGCAGUAGGCUAAUGUAUCUGCUGUGUGCCAUUUAUAUUUUUAUAAAACUUAAAUUUUCUUUACUACAUUGCAAAGUAAAGACUUUUCCUCCCCUUUAUUUCAGGAAAAUAUGCUGCUCCUCAAUAUUUUAAAGUUAAGAAAUCGAAAAACUUUUAUUUCUACCGGCCAGUGAUGAUUCUGAAAGGACAUACCUGUAAUCUGUUGCUAUAGUAGUAUUUUAGUGCAGUUGUCUCACAGCCACUGCGGUCAAAUAUUGAGAUAAUCUUUAUAAAGUAUCAUCUAUUUAUAUUAAAUUAAUGUAUUAAAUGUGUAUCUUUUCCAAUACCCAUCUUGGAAAACCAUUGGCCUAAAAGGAAAAUGCUUAAUGUGGCGUAAUGCAUUAAAACGUGUUUCAAAAAGACCAAACUCAGUAAACAUUUUUAAUAAAGCAUUCUAUUCACAGAUAAGCAGGUAAUGGAAGGAAAAUGCUUAACGCAUAAUUAAUCGCGUUGCGUUCGUAUUCUGGGCUCAUAUCUGCUUGUCUGUGAAUAGAAUGCUUUAUUGAUAAUUUGUUUACUGAGUUUGGUCUUUUUAAAACACAGUUUUAAUGCAUUAAGCCACAUACUUUCACGUUAAGCGCUUUAGAAUGUCCCAGUGAUUCAUUUGUGAAUUUGAGUGGUCCAGAAAAUUAAACUUGCAGCAGCUAACAUCUCGUGAUUCAAUAAAUCAGACAUAGUGAGUCAAGCUAACAAUAAAGAACUAUGCAUUAUAAUGAAGGCUUUGUAAAACUGCACAGCGUUUUUAGCUUUUUAAACAACAUACUCAGUCCUACAUCAACUACACACACAUUUCCUAUUAUGUAUGUCUAUGAAAGAUGAUCGAACCAAUCAGAGUAGGUAAGGGGUGGGGCGACACAUGCAGCCCCGCCUCGAUCUGCAGGCUGCAGCCGGGUGUACUUGCUUAAAAUAAAUGUUUUAAAUAUAUAGCAAUGUGCAGCCAGCAGAGGGCAGAUGUCUGAUUUACUUACAUUUACACAAUAAUAGUCUUUUCAAAAUGAAAUAAAACAUUGGGUACACCGGAAUAGAGUCCUGCAAUGGGUCAGGUACCCUCAUAAAAGUGGCUAAAAUGGGUGAAUUGUGACAUUCUAAAAUGCACGGGUGGGGAUGCGGGCAGAUAAUUAACUCAUUGUGGGCGGGUAGUAGCGCGGAUGAAAAAUAUGUGCAAUAUUUGUAUGUCUACAUUACCAUUACACAUACGCAACAACGAUAUGACAUUUGACCAUGGGCGUCGCUAGGCCAUUUUUAGGGGAGCUAUAGCCCCCCUAAAAUGACCACUCAGCCCCCCUAAAAUUUUGAGAUUACAUUAACUGUACACAAAUUUCUG